rnacentral:rRNA from 1 species
UGAGGAAUAUUGGUCAAUGGGCGCAAGCCUGAACCAGCCAUCCCGCGUGCAGGAAGACGGCGCUAUGCGUUGUAAACUGCUUUUCCAGGGGGAGAAACUUGCGCACGUGUUGCGCAAUUGACGGUACCCUGGGAAUAAGCAUCGGCUAACUCCGUGCCAGCAGCCGCGGUAAUACGGAGGAUGCGAGCGUUAUCCGGAUUCAUUGGGUUUAAAGGGUGCGUAGGCGGACUAUUAAGUCAGUGGUGAAAUCCUGCAGCUUAACUGCAGAACUGACAUUGAUACUGAUAGACUUGAGUUUGGUUAAGGUAGGAGGAAUGAGUGAUGUAGCGGUGAACUGCUUAGAGAUUACACAGAACACCAAUUGAGGAGGCAGCUUACUGAGCCGACACUGCCGCUGAGGUACGAAAGCGUGG